GAGGAUGAUGAUUUCAAAUUUGUCGCCCCAGUCUUAGGGUCCACUCAGGUGGGUUUGUGCUGAUUGACAUACUAUUGAAUCUGACUU
rfam:Triticum aestivum genome assembly, contig: Triticum_aestivum_CS42_TGACv1_scaffold_032757_1BL